AGAGUUUGAUCCUGGCUCAGAGUGAACGCUGGCGGUAGGCCUAACACAUGCAAGUCGAACGGCAGCACAGAGGAGCUUGCUCCUUGGGUGGCGAGUGGCGGACGGGUGAGGAAUACAUCGGAAUCUACUCUGUCGUGGGGGAUAACGUACGGAAACUUACGCUAAUACCGCAUACGACCUACGGGUGAAAGCAGGGGACCUUCGGGCCUUGCGCGAUUGAAUGAGCCGAUGUCGGAUUAGCUAGUUGGCGGGGUAAAGGCCCACCAAGGCGACGAUCCGUAGCUGGUCUGAGAGGAUGAUCAGCCACACUGGAACUGAGACACGGUCCAGACUCCUACGGGAGGCAGCAGUGGGGAAUAUUGGACAAUGGGCGCAAGCCUGAUCCAGCCAUACCGCGUGGGUGAAGAAGGCCUUCGGGUUGUAAAGCCCUUUUGUUGGGAAAGAAAUCCAGCUGGCUAAUACCCGGUUGGGAUGACGGUACCCAAAGAAUAAGCACCGGCUAACUUCGUGCCAGCAGCCGCGGAAAUACGAAGGGUGCAAGCGUUACUCGGAAUUACUGGGCGUAAAGCGUGCGUAGGUGGUCGUUUCAGUCCGUUGUGAAAGCCCUGGGCUCAACCUGGGAACUGCAGUGGAUACUGGGCGACUAGAGUGUGGUAGAGGGUAGCGGACUUCCUGGUGUAGCAGUGUAAUGCGUAGAGAUCAGGCAGAACAUCCAUGGCCGACGCAGCUACCUGGACCAACACUGUACCUGAGGCACGAAAGCGUGGGGAGCUAAACAGAUUAGAUACC
rnacentral:rRNA from 1 species